rnacentral:rRNA from 1 species
GACGAACGCUGGCGGCGUGCUUAACACAUGCAAGUCGAGCGGAAAGGCCCUUCGGGGUACUCGAGCGGCGAACGGGUGAGUAACACGUGAGUAACCUGCCCUAGGCUUUGGGAUAACCCCGGGAAACCGGGGCUAAUACCGGAUAUGACCUGGUGCCGCAUGGUGUUGGGUGGAAAGUUUUUUCGGCCUGGGAUGGGCUCGCGGCCUAUCAGCUUGUUGGUGGGGUGAUGGCCUACCAAGGCGAUGACGGGUAGCCGGCCUGAGAGGGCGGCCGGCCACACUGGGACUGAGACACGGCCCAGACUCCUACGGGAGGCAGCAGUGGGGAAUAUUGCACAAUGGGCGGAAGCCUGAUGCAGCGACGCCGUGUGAGGGAUGAAGGCCUUCGGGUUGUAAACCUCUUUCAGCAGGGACGAAGCGUGAGUGACGGUACCUGCAGAAGAAGCGCCGGCCAACUACGUG